rnacentral:piRNA from 1 species
UGAUAAUGCAUUUCAACCUGAAGGAGUC